rnacentral:rRNA from 1 species
GAUGUUGUCUGCAACUCGACUACAUGAAGUCGGAAUCGCUAGUAAUCGUAGAUCCUCCUACGGUGAAUACGUUCUCGGGUCUUGUACACACCCCCGUCACACCAUGGGAGCUGGUAAUGCCCGAAGUCGGUUUGUUAACUUCAGACGACACGGCUUACCAGAGGGGGGGGAACUCUUAAGAGGGGGGGUGAAAGGGGGGGGG